rnacentral:rRNA from 1 species
GAUGAACGCUGGCGGCGUGCCUAAUACAUGCAAGUCGAGCGAACAGAUAAGGAGCUUGCUCCUUUGAAGUUAGCGGCGGACGGGUGAUUAACACGUGGGUAACCUACCUAUAAGACUGGGAUAACUUCGGGAAACCGGAGCUAAUACCGGAUAACAUUUAGAACCGCAUGGUUCUAAAGUGAAAGAUGGUUUUGCUAUCACUUAUAGAUGGACCCGCGCCGUAUUAGCUAGUUGGUAAGGUAACGGCUUACCAAGGCGACGAUACGUAGCCGACCUGAGAGGGUGAUCAGGCACACUGGAACUGAGACACGGUCCAGACUCCUACGGGAGGCAGCAGUGGGGAAUAUUGCACAAUGGGCGAAAGCCUGACCGAGCCACGCCGCGUGAGUGAUGAAGGGUUUCGGCUCGUAAAACUCUGUUAUUAGGGAAGAACAAAAGUGUAAGUAACUGUGCACAUCUUGACGGUACCUAAUCAGAAAGCCACGGCUAACUACGUG